rnacentral:rRNA from 1 species
AUUGAACGCUGGCGGCAUGCCUUACACAUGCAAGUCGAACGGUAACAGGUCUUCGGAUGCUGACGAGUGGCGAACGGGUGAGUAAUACAUCGGAACGUGCCCGAUCGUGGGGGAUAACGAAGCGAAAGCUUUGCUAAUACCGCAUAAGAUCUACGGAUGAAAGCAGGGGACCGCAAGGCCUUGCGCGAACGGAGCGGCCGAUGGCAGAUUAGGUAGUUGGUGGGAUAAAAGCUUACCAAGCCGACGAUCUGUAGCUGGUCUGAGAGGACGACCAGCCACACGAGGACUGAGACACGGCCCAGACUCCUACGGGAGGCAGCAGUGGGGAAUUUUGGACAAUGGGCGAAAGCCUGAUCCAGCCAUGCCGCGUGCAGGAUGAAGGCCUUCGGGUUGUAAACUGCUUUCGUACGGAACGAAAAGACUCUUUCUAAUAAAGAGGGUCCAUGACGGUACCGUAAGAAUAAGCACCGGCUAACUACGUGCCAGCCGCCGCAGUAACAC